rnacentral:rRNA from 1 species
CAAUAGCGUCUAUUAAAGUUGUUGCAGUUAAAAAGCUCGUAGUUGGAUCUGUGGUGUGCGGUGGGCUCCGGGCACUUGUUGUCUGAGUAGCUCGCCGCUGCCAUCCUUGGGUGGAACCUGUGUGGCAUUAGGUUGUCGUGCAGGGGAUGCCCAUCGUUUACUGUGAAAAAAUUAGAGUGUUCAAAGCAGGCUUAUGCCGUUGAAUAUAUUAGCAUGGAAUAAUGAGAUAGGACUUUUUCGCUAUUUUGUUGGUUUGCGCGAAGAGGUAAUGAUUAAUAGGGACAGUUGGGGGUAUUCGUAUUCCAUUGUCAGAGGUGAAAUUCUUGGAUUUUUGGAAGACGAACUACUGCGAAAGCAUUUACCAAGGAUGUUUUCAUUAA